rnacentral:rRNA from 1 species
GGAAUAUUGCGCAAUGGGCGAAGGCCUGACGCGGCAACGCCGCGUGGAGGAUGAAGGUUUUCGGACUGUAAACUCCUGUCAGAGGGGAAGAAAAGAUAUCGGUUAAUAUCCGGUAUCCUUGACGGUACCUUCAGAGGAAGCCCCGGCUCACUCCGUGCCAGCAGCCGCUGUGAUACGGAGGGGGCUAGCGUUAUUCGGAAUUAUUGGGCGUAAAGGGCGCGUAGGUGGCCUGAUAUGUCAAAGGUGAAAUCCCUCGGCUCAACCGAGGAACUGCCUUUGAAACUGUCAGGCUUGAGGCCGGGAGGGGGUAGCGGAAUUCCCAGUGUAGCGGUGAAAUGCGUAGAUAUUGGGAGGAACACCGGUGGCGAAGGCGGCUACCUGGACCGGUUCUGACACUGAGGCGCGAAAGCGUGGGGAGCAAAC